AAAUUCAAUGGGUUCAUGAGGAUAGAAUUACAUUGUUCACCGCUGAUGGACUGGUGCAGAUUGGAGGCUCCAUCACCCCUCGCCAUGUUAGCUCUUCAGAUGUAGUACCGAAGACUAUUGGAAAAGAUAGGAUGCUGCUCAAGUAAUGGCUCAGUUAGUAUGGGAAGGACUUGGACUCGGAGGAGGGACAGAUGUCCGAAACUGGGGCAGGUAGAAUGAUAAAACCGAUUGUGCUCUUUUGUGUCUAAUGAAUUUCCAUAUGAACUGCUUCUUUCCUUGUU